rnacentral:lncRNA from 1 species
AUGUUGGACCAGAUGAAGGCUGUGGCUGUCCUUGCCAUCACCAUAAAAAAAGGUAUGAACACCAGAGUACUUGUCACUGUCCUGUUUAUGGUAAUUGUUGCCGUAAACACAGCAACAGCUACAACUGGAUUUGUCAUGAACCAAACGCCUACUCCUCUCAAUGUAGCUGUGUCUAAUCAAAAGUGUAACAUAACAAAGUACUGUGGAUCCCUGCCCUCUUCAUGCAACCCUUCCUCACAAAGCUGCUACUUUGCCUCUGCACAGCCAAAUGCAGCUGGUUUUUUGUUUGAGCUUUCAGGGAAUGCAACUGGCUACAUCGCAGCCACAGUGACUUCUAACUCUGCAUUUGGAAACAAUGAAACAACCUACAUCUGCGCAAGCGGCAGCUCAACUGUUGAUUUCUACACUGCUCUGCUCAACAACAUGACACUGAUCUCAGCAAAUCUGAGCGUGACCUCUGUGAACGGCACAAACAAUGGAAUCAUUACCCAGUGCCUAAUUAAUACCACAAUAAUAAGUGCUACUCUGGUAAACAUCUACAAUGGAUCCUACAAUAGCACUACUCGUGACUUGGGAAACCUCAACUUCCUGUUCCAGAUUGACGUUAGACCUCCGUUAGGUAACAGUACAGGAUCAAAUGACGGCAUCACCAUCCAGCAUUCAAUGACACAAGCUCUGCUGAUCACUGCAGGUGUGCUGGUCCUGGCGUUGAUGUGAGGAAAGUGAAGAAGUGGUACAAAUGUAUUAGAGAUGGAAGUAUGGGUGAUGGGGGUUGUUUAUUCUUCCACAGCCUUCUGACUUCUUUCAUGUCUGAAACCAGUGAGAGAAUUAAGAUUAGUUUUCCAAUUUAAAGUGUAUGUGAUUUAUUCUAUUAUUUUAUUCUAUUAUUAUUAUGUAAGUCAGACCUACAGUAAUCACAGAAAUUAUUUCUGCUUGGUUUCCUAGUUUAAAUUUUUUAAGUAAACCAGCGCCUGGUUUUCAGAACGUGAAUUCAUGUUUAACACACAUUCUGGAUACGGGGUCACCUUAGUACCACUGGAUAUGAAGUGAUGAAUGAAUAUGUCCUCUGUGUGCAUGUUACUUCCUUACACAAUCAUCCAUUUAAAUGUUAUUUACGUUUUUUACUUGUCUGUUUUUGCAAUUUUUUGUACACCAAUUAAAAUGAAAGGUGUGACAAUGUUAGCAGUUGUAAUGGAUAUUUGUAAAGUUCACAGUGAUAGACAGUUUUCAGCUGGUUUAACAUUUACUGGUUUACGUUCCUUCACUACUUACUGGGAUUCUGUAAGAGGCCUUCAGGUCCUGUUGUUUUAUUAAAUGGCUGCAUCACAGCCUACACCACACACACCAUUAGUUAAUAUUGGCUACUGGCCCUUCACCAGCAAACACCUGCUGGAGUACACGUCCCGUAACAUGGUUUAACAAGCACAGAAGCAUUUUUGCUAACCUGCCUACAGGUUUGCAGGAAUAUAGAUUUAAACUGCACUGAAGUUAGGUGGAAAAUAAAAGUUGUAUUGAGGUAUGUUGUCCA